rnacentral:rRNA from 1 species
GGGGUGGUACUCAAAAUAGACUUUGAAAAAGCGUAUGACAAAGUCAAAUGGCCAUUUCUUCAACAGACUCUCAGAAUGAAAGGAUUUUUUGCAGAGUGGUGCGCUAUGGUCCAUAGCUUCGUUUCUGGAGGUAGUGUUGCCAUUAAGGUCAAUGAUGACGUUGGACACUAUUUCCAAACAAAGAAGGGAUUGCGACAAGGUGACUCGGUAUCGCCCAUGCUAUUCAAUAUAGUGGCGGAUAUGCUAGUGGUCAUGAUUGAGCGUGCCAAGGUUGAUGGCCAAAUUGAUGGAGUAGUAAGUCAUCUAGUUCAUGGUGGUCUCUCUAUACUUCAAUAUGCCGACGAUACGAUUCUCUUCAUGGAUCAUGACCUCGAGAAAGCGAGAAAUCUGAAAUUAAUUUUAUCAGUAUUCGAGAAACUCUCAGGUCUGAAGAUCAACUUU